GUAAUUUUCUAUUUAAGCAUCUCCAAAACAGUAAGCUGAAUCGUCAGUAAAUGACUAAAUCCAAUGACAAGCCCACAAAACCAUGCAUCGAUUGAUUUAUAAGGAAUUGAAAUGAGCGAAUGAUCCACAGGACAACUAGGAGAGCAAAAUAUUUGCCACAACCACCAAUCUAGGAAAAUUUGCCUACAAAGCACUAUGCCGGCAUGAGACCAUAUAUGCACUUAUUUAAAUCUUAAUGGGUAUAUUGAACAACUACAAAUCUUUCCUAUUCAAGAUUUAUCUUCCGUACCAAUAAACUACAAUAUCUUGUUUUCAUGGGGUGAACUGUAUAAAUCUGUUCUUUACUUGUUCAAGAGUGAAGGCACAGAUCACAUCAUUUAUACAUGAUAAUGAUUGAUAUCCUAAAUCUCCCAACCGCAGAUCACUAGCCCAUGGCAUACUUCUGAGUCCAGCUCCUAGCAGUCGCCUCAUACUUGGCCCUGUCUGCCUUGUACAUAUGAGCAAUUUCUGGCACCAAGGGAUCAUCUGGGUUUGGAUCCGUCAACAGUGAACAUAUAGAGAGCAACACCUGAAAAACAAGACAAUAACCCUUCCCACCUACUUAAAAAACAGCAAUAACAAAACACACAGGUGAAAAUUUACCAGAUAUUUGUGUGUGUGCGUGUGUGAUUGCUGUGUCUUGUGUGUAUUCAACAAAUGGUGGAGAGCUAACCCAACAGAAACUCAAUGGAAAUCCUAAUGAUUGGCGUCAGGAAAAUUAUUGUAAACACAUUUUGAUAUAGGACCUUUCACCUUGUAUAAUUAAUUUAUGUUUUAUUGGCAAACAAAACACUGGAUUUAAGAUGCUACAUUGGAUUAAUUGAUCAGAUGCACACCCAUCAUCCGGAUUUCUGCACCAAAACUAAGUGGGUGGCAAUAUGCAGGAUAAAAGGCCAUCGCAAUGUGCAACAUUUUCCUAUUAGGACAACCUCAGACACAUGAUAGAAUCAUGCGUUGAGGACAAUUAAUUCUUCUACACCACUACAUCAACCAUGAUUUAUGUGCACAAUGAAUAAGUGAGACCCCUUAUUCAGAAGUCCAUCAAAUUUAGGAGACAUGUCAAUAAUACUAAUUUCCAAUGUCCAUGCCUAUCUUGUUUGACAGAAAUUCAAACCUAAUGGGAAUUAGGUGAUAAGAAGUCAGAACCUUGGAUAUUGUCAGGGCAGGGCUCCACUGCUCCUUUAGAAUGUCGAGGCAAAUGCUGCCAUUACUGUUGAUAUUUGGAUGAAAAACCUUUGUCCUAAAUGCAACCUGCGUGAAACAAAAAGAUAAGAAACUACAAUUAAGGUACAAAAAAUUUACACAUGUAUAAGUUUCAUGCUAUUAAGACUCUGAUUGAAAAUAUUAUUAAGCCUGAUUGCCAUUUCUGUUUAGGUACGCCAAAUUUAUACAUGUAUAAAAUACAUAGGAAUUUCAUAUACAGUGAGUUUUGGCAAUCACAAGCUUAAGAACUCUGCAGCAUGUUAGAUAUUGCUCUGAUGAAACUUCCAUAUACCUCACUGCCUCGACUUUUCAUCACAUCAGGAAACGGAAUGUCAAAAGUUUUAAGAGGGAGACAUGAAAUGACAUGAAAAUUGCAACAAUUUUUCAUGUUUACGCAUUUAGUUAACUUCACUACAUUAAAAUUUCUCAUACAAUUGUUUACACUUUAGUGUUUUAUUAAGCGCAGGUGUUGGUUUCUUCUCUGUUAAAAUUAAAUAGUUAUUAUGUCACUAAUCUUUACACAAGUUUUUUCAGAGAAAUUUUCUGGUAGAGGGGGAUUGGAAUAUUCAGAGACAUUUCAAAGAACAAAGUCAUCUAUGAAGCAAGCACAUGCCUACAGCAAGAAGGAAAAAGAAAGAAAAUAAAGACUUGAUAUCAUACCUUUGGUGGCUUAAAUGGAUAGUCAGGAGGAAAAUGAAUAGUAACUAAAAAUACACCCCCAGAAUAAGGGCUGUCAGGGGGACCCAUUAUUGUUGCUUGCCAGUGAAACAUGUCUUCAGCUACAGGACCAGCGCUGCAUGAUGUAGGAGGAUCCUUCUGUAAAUCCUUCAGUUCCUUCAAGAUCCGCUUCGAAGCCAUCUCAAAAUCUGCGAUUCAACGCUUAGAUGCCCUCAGAUCAAAGAUCAAAACAAAAGCGAGCGCACAAAUACACGGCUACAAAGGUCUAUAGAUACAUAUAUAUAAAGAGGAAAUCGAAGCGAAAAUACCUGAGAUGAAGAGAAUAUUGAUCCUCCCCUGUGGAUUACGGUAGCUUCUGGGUCGGUAGUAUGAUUAUUAUUUGAGAAUUGAGAGGACACGGAGAGAACAAUCAGCAAAAGAAAGAAAAGGAAAUGGAUGAGAGAUUUAAGAUCGGGUGAGGUAACGACUUUUAUAAAUGCCUGGGACCUCCUUCUGGUUCGAUGGUUUCGACCCCUGGAUUUGGGUUUGGGUUUUUCUCUUCUGUAUUUGGUGGUCCCCCAACUUGGCGUUUUCUGUACGUAAAACCCAUUUUUUCGCCGAAAGCCGCCGUCG
rnacentral:misc_RNA from 1 species